AAUAAUGAAUGUCGUAUAAGCUAAAGGGUGAAGGUUCGUAAGGUUUGUGAGUAUAUUAGAAUGAGAAGAUUUUUGAGCAUUCAUAGACACAAAUACUUGCAUUACGGUCUUGGGAUAAUGGUUGGGUUUUAAAUGGAAGGUUUUAUGAAAUAUUGUUAAGAUAAAAAUAAGUUUGCUUGGGGGCUAACAAAGAUUAAGUUUGGGGUGUUUUGAUAUGUGCAUGUCUAUACAUAUAUUUUACAUCAUAUCGUAAUUUUUUAGCCCUUUUUGUGCCCAUUAUAAAACAAAAGGUACUUAAUCUAUUGUAUGAUGUGUUGUAGUGGGAAAAGACAUGCUCGGAGCAAAAAGGAAGCUAGAAACUGGAGGUUAGGGACUUGGAUCAAAGAAAAAAUGAAGAAAAUACAGAUUCCCACGACGUAGUGUUUUGAAGUUUCCCGUCGAACCUCGAAGACUUGCGGAUUAUGUGAUAAAGUAGAAGACCACGUCGUGGUGGACUUGUCACCACGUGAUGGACCGACUUCGAGAAAAUUAUAAAUAGAAGGCAUAAUCCUCGGAAAUCCCAAUUUUGCAGGAGCUAUUGUCAUAUUUUGAAGGCCAAGAACACACUUUGAAGCUUGGGGUUACAUAAGAUUGAUUAUAGCUUGGAUUUGACAGAUUUGAGGCAAUACAACUUGAAAUUCAUUUUUAUGAGUUUACUUGUUGAAAUCUUGGUCUAAAAAGCAAUGACUUCGUUUAGAUUAGAUUGCUUGACUUUUUAUGGCUUGAUAUAUGGUUUGGAUUAUGAAUAGCUGGUUAUUUAUGGGGAUGGAUUCGGAGGGUUGCAAAAAUACCUUGAGGUUAAGAAAGAUUUAUGGGGAUGGAUUCAGAGGGUUGCAAAAACGAAUGUCAUAUAAGCUAAUGGGUGAAGGUUCAUAAGGUUUGUGAGUAUUUUUGAAUGAGAAGAUUUUCGAAAUCAUAGACAUAAAAACUUUCAUUACGGUCUUCGGAUAAUGGUUGGGUUUUAAAUUGACUGUUUUAUGAAAUAUUGGUAAGAUAAAAUAAGUUUGCUUGGGGGCUAACAAAGAUUAAGUGUGGGGUGUUUUGAUAUGUGCAUAUCUAUACAUAUAUUUUACAUCAUAUUUUAAUAUUUCUAGCCAUUUUUAUGCCCAUUAUAAAACAAAAGGUACUUAAUCUAUUGUAUGGUGUGUUGUAGUGGUAAAAGACAUGCUAGAGCAAAAAGGAAGUUGGAAGCUGGAAGUUAGGAACUUGGAGCUAGGCAAAUAUGAAAUUAGUACCCAAUCCCACAAUGUGGUGUUUUGAAGUUUCCCGUCAAACUUCGAAGACAUGCGGAUUUUGUGAUAAAUUAGAAGACCACGUCGUGGUGGACUUGUCACCAUGUGGUCGACCAACUUCGAGAAAAUUAUAAAUGCAAGGCAUAAUCCUCUGAAAACCCAACUUUUGCUAGAGCUAUUGUCAUAUUUUGAAGGCCAACAACACACUCUGAAGGUUGGAGUUACAUAAGAUUGAUUAUAGCUUGGAUUUGAGAGAUUUGAGGCAGUACAAGUUAAAUUUCAUUUUUAUGUGUUUACCUGAUGAAAUCUUGGGCUUAAAACCUAUGACUUCGUUUAUAUUAGAUUACUUGAAUUUUUAUGGCUUGAUUUAUGGUUUGGAUUAUGAAUAAUUGGUUGUUUAUAUGGAUGGAUUUGAAGGGUUGAAAAAAUACCUUGAGGUUAACAAAGUUUUAUGCGGAUGGUUUCGGAGGAUUGAAAAAAUGAAUAUCGUAUAAGCUAAGGGCUGAAGGUUAAUAAGGUUUGUGAGUAUAUUGGAAUGAGAAGAUUUUUGAAAUCAUAGACACAAAUACUUGCAUUACGGUCUUGGGAUAAUGGUUGGGUUUUAAAUGGACGGUUUUAUGAAAUAUUGUUAAGAUAAAAAUAAGUUUGCUUGGGGGCUAACAAAGAUUAAGUUUGGGGUGUUUUGAUAUGUGCAUGUCUAUACAUAUAUUUUUCAUCAUAUCUUAAUUUUUUUAGCCCUUUUUGUGCCCAUUAUAAAACACAAGGUACUUAAUCUAUUGUAUGAUGUGUUGUAGUGGUAAAAGACAUGCUCGGAGCAAAAAGGAAGCUAGAAACUGGAGGUUAGGGACUUGGAUCAAGGAAUAAAUGAAGAAAAUACCCAUUCCCACGACAUGGUGUUUUGAAGUUUCCCGUCGAAUCCCGAAGACUUGCGGAUUACGUGAUAAAGUAGAAGACCACGUCGUGGUGGAAUUGUCACCACGUGGUGGACCGACUUCGAGAAAAUUAUAAAUAGAAUGCAUAAUCCUCCGAAAACCCAACUUUUGCAAGAGCUAUUGUCAUAUUUUGAUGGCCAAGAACACACUUUGAAGCUUGGGGUUACAUAAGAUUGAUUAUAGCUUGGAUUUGACAGAUUUUAGGAAAUACAACUUAAAUUUCAUUUUUAUGUGUUUACCUGUUGAAAUCUUGGUCUAAAAAGUUAUGACUUCGUUUAGAUUAGAUUGCUUGUCUUUUUAUGGCUUGACUUAUGGUUUGGAUUAUGAAUAGUUGGUUAUUUAUGGGGAUGGAUUCGAAGGGUUGCAAAAAUACCUUGAGGUUAAGAAAGAUUUAUGGGGAUGGAUUCAGAGGGUUGCAAAAGCGAAUGUCAUACAAGCUAAUGGGUAAAGGUUCAUAAGGUUUGUGAGUAUUUUGGAAUGAGAAGAUUUUCGGAAUCAUAGUCAUAAAUACUUUCAUUACGGUCUUCGGAUAAUGGCUGGGUUUUAAAUUGACUGUUUUAUGAAAUAUUGGUAAGAUAAAAAUAUGUUUGCUUGGGGGCUAACAAAGAUUAAGUGUGGGGUGUUUUGAUAUGUGCAUAUCUUUACAUAUAUUUUACAUCAUAUCUUAAUAUUUAUAGCCAUUUUUAUGCCCAUUAUAAAAGAAAAGGUACUUAAUCUAUUGUAUGGUGUGUUGUAGUGGUAAAAGACAAGCUGGAGCAAAAAGGAAGUUGGAAGCUGCAAGUUAGGAACUUGGAGCUAGGCAAAUAUGAAAUAAAUACCCAAUCCCACGAUGUGGUGUUUUGAAUUUUCCCGUCGAACCUUGAAGACUUGCGGAUUAUGUGAUAAAUUAGAAGACCACGUCGUGGUGGAUUUGUCACCAUGUGGUGCACCGACUUCGAGAAAAUUAUAAAUGGAAGGCAUAAUCCUCCGAAAACCCAACUUUUGCUACAGCUAUUGUCAUAUUUUGAAGGCCAGGAACACACUUUGAACGUUGGGGUUACAUAAGAUUGAUUAUAGCUUGGGUUUGAGAGAUUUGAGGCAGUACAAGUUGAAUUUCAUUUUUAUGUGUUUACCUGAUGAAAUCUUGGUCUAAAAACCUAUGACUUCGUUUAUAUUAGAUUACUUGACUUUUUAUGUCUUGAUUUAUGGUUUGGAUUAUGAAUAGUUGGUUAUUUAUAGGGAUGGAUUCGAAGGGUUGCAAAAUACCUUGAGGUUAACAAAGUUUUAUGCGGAUGGUUUCGGAGGAUUGCAAAAAUGAAUGUCGUAUAAGCUAAAGGGUGCAGGUUCAUAAGGUUUGUGAGUAUAUUAGAAUGAGAAGAUUUUUGGAAUCAUAGACAAAAAUACUUGCAUUACGGUCUUGGGAUAAUGAUUGGGUUUUAAAUGGACGGUAUUAUGAAAUAUUGUUCAGAUAAAAAUAAGUUUGCUUAGGGGCUAACAAAGAUUAAGUUUGGGGUGUUUUGAUAUGUACAUGUCUAUACAUAUAUUUUACAUCAUAUCGUAAUUUUUUAGCCCUUUUUGUGCCCAUUAUAAAACAAAAGGUACUUAAUCUAUUGUAUGAUGUGUUGUAGUGGUAAAAGACAUGCUCGGAGCAAAAAGGAAGCUAGAAACUGGAGGUUAGGGACUUGGAUCAUGGAAAAAAUGAAGAUAAUACCCAUUCCCACGAUGUGGUGUUUUGAAGUUUCCCGUCGAACCUCGAAGACUUGCAGAUUACGUGAUAAAGUAGAAGACCACGUCGUGGUGGACUUGUCACCACGUGGUGGACUGACUUCGAGAAAAUUAUAAAUAGAAGGCAUAAUCCUUGGAAAUCCCAACUUUUGCAAGAGCUAUUGUCAUAUUUUGAAGGCCAAUAACACACUUUGAAGCUUGGGGUUACAUAAGAUUGAUUAUAGCUUUGAUUUGACAGAUUUGAGACAAUACAACUUGAAAUUCAUUUUUAUGAGUUUACCUGUUGAAAUCUUGGUCUAAAAAGCUAUGACUUCGUUUAGAUUAGAUUGCUUGACUUUUUAUGGCUUGAUUUAUAGUUUGGAUUAUGAGUAGUUGGUUAUUUAUGGGGAUGGAUUCGGAGGGUUGCAAAAAUACCAUGAGUUUAAGAAAGUUUUAUGGGGAUGGAUUCGGAGGGUUGCAAUAAUGAAUGUCGUAUAAGCCAAAGGGUGAAGGUUCAUAAGGUUUGUGAGUAUAUUAGAAUGAGAAGAUUUUUGGAAUCAUAGACACAAAUACUUGCAUUACGGUCUUGGGAUAAUGGUUGGGUUUUAAAUGGAAGGUUUUAUGAAAUAUUGUUAAGAUAAAAAUAAGUUUGCUUGGGGGCUAACAAAGAUUAAGUUUGGGGUGUUUUGAUAUGUGCAUGUCUAUACAUAUAUUUUACAUCAUAUCUUAAUUUUUUAGCCCUUUUUGUGCCCAUUAUAAAACAAACGGUACUUAAUCUAUUGUAUGAUGUGAUGUAGUGGUAAAACACAUUCUCAGAGCGAAAAGGAAGCUAGAAAAUGGAGGUUAGCGACUUGGAUCAAGGAAUAAAUGAAGAAAAUACCCAUUCCCACGACGUGGUGUUUUGAAGUUUCCCGUCG
rnacentral:lncRNA from 1 species